UCUUGUUGAUAGGUUGGGUUUCUUCCAAAAUGGCCACCUCUAGCUCUGCUUCAUCAAAAAAAUCUGCUCAGAGAAGUGAAAAGAAAGACAGCUGCAACUGCAGGGCCUAAAGGAUGAACAAUGUAAAACAUCUGUAGUUGGUGGCUCAAAAUUACCUGGCCCAGCUGCUUGGCUUUCCCCUUGGCCACUGUGUGACCUGCUCAUCUGGAUAGAGCUACCCCACAUAUGGACACCAAGGUGGGCCUCUGGAACAGACUCCACAAGAAAAGGGUUGCUUGUACCUUUGGAGAGACAAACAAUCAGUACAUUAGAAUGAGUAAUUUGUAUUCAUUAAAAAAUCCAACCUGA